AAAAAAUUGGAUCAUGUGAAUCCACCUGGCUGUUCUAGAGGAAAAACAGGAAGUGAGGCUUCUCCUGAGUAGUGUGACUUUCCUCCAGAGAGGAGUUUUCACUUUCUGCAGGACUUCGUGCUGGGUGAGGUAAGGCUGGAGCUGCUGGCACCACCUAGCCACAAAGAGGAAAGAGCCAGAGGCAGACUAAUUAUGAGGAAGAAGAGCCAAGAGAUGGGGAGAGAGAAAAACCAGAACCUGAAAGAAAACAAAACUGGAGUCUCUGGAGGAAGACAUGCCUGACUUCAAUUAUCUGAAUUAAUAAAUUCCUUUUUUCUUUUUUUUUUUUCUUUGCUUAAGAGGUUGUUUGUAUUGGGUCUUCUGUCAGUUUAAAGUAACCCAGAAGGCACAACAUAACCUGCCCAGCUUUAUGGGACUUUCUUGGGCCUCCGUCCCCUCUCUGUGAAAUAAGUGGGUUAGGUUAUUUAUCAGGGAAGGAUUGUGUUUGGCUGCUAGUAACAAACACCAGUGGUGUAGAGGUUUUAUUUUUCUCAUGCAAGAAGUCUGGAGUUAGGCAAUUGAUAUGGUUUGGCUGUAUCCCCACCCAAAUCUCAUCUUGAAUUGUAGCUCCCAUAAUUCCCACGUGUUGUGGGAGGGACCCGGUGGGAGAUAAUUGAAUCAUGGAGGUGAUUUCCCCCAUUCUGUUCUCCUAGAAGUGAAUAAGUCUCACAAGAUCUGAUGGUUUUAUAAGAGGAGACCCCUUUCGCUUGGUUGUCAUUCUCACUUGUCUGCCACCAUGUAAGACGUGCCUUUCGCCUUCCUCCCCAGCCAUGUAGAAGUAUGAGUCCAUUAAACCUCUUUUUCUUUAUAAAUUACCCAGUCUCAGGUAUGUCUUUAUCAGCAGCAUGAAAACGGACUAAUACAGCAGUCUAGGGCUAGUCUCACAGCCCCACAAUGCCAUUAGGCACAUAGGCAUCCCUGUUAGCCAGCUUGAGAGGUGGCAUUUGUUCUCAUACUCAGAAGAUGGCUGUCCCCUCUAGGCAUCAUGUCUGCAUGCUAGGCAGGAGGAGGAAGGAAGAAGAAAGGGGCCAACCCACACAGUGGCUUUGACUUGCAUCUCAUUGGCCAGAACUGUGUCACAUGGUCACUAUCUGAAAGGGAGACUGGGAAAUGUGUAAGUUGGGUACACU
rnacentral:lncRNA from 1 species